AUGCAGUGAGUGGGCAGAUAAAGCAAUCCAGUGCUCAGUAUAUGAAUCUAAAGACUGGAGAGGCAUAUGGAAUACUCUAUCUGAGAGGUACACAUAAAGAAAAAUUAAGACAAGUGACAAAUGAGCAAAAGCGACAAUGGAAACUGUUACCCAGACACUACUAGCAGUGUUGAGUAUCGUAAAUGGUUAUUCAGUUCAUGUACACAAAUACCUAGACCUUUAGCAGUGUUAAAUGGACAUUCGAAUAUUCCAG